UAGGGAAUCUUCCGCAAUGGGCGAAAGCCUGACGGAGCAACGCCGCGUGAGUGAUGAAGGUCUUCGGAUCGUAAAACUCUGUUAUUAGGGAAGAACAAAUGUGUAAGUAACUAUGCACGUCUUGACGGUACCUAAUCAGAAAGCCACGGCUAACUACGUGCCAGCAGCCGCGGUAAUACGUAGGUGGCAAGCGUUAUCCGGAAUUAUUGGGCGUAAAGCGCGCGUAGGCGGUUUUUUAAGUCUGAUGUGAAAGCCCACGGCUCAACCGUGGAGGGUCAUUGGAAACUGGAAAACUUGAGUGCAGAAGAGGAAAGUGUAAUUCCAUGUGUAGCGGUGAAAUGCGCAGAGAUAUGGAGGAAAACCAGUGGCGAAGGCGACUUUCUGGUCUGUAACUGACGCUGAUGUGCGAAAGCGUGGGGAUCAAACAGG
rnacentral:rRNA from 1 species